ACCACCCACCCGCCAGAGGCUGGCAGGGUAGGUUGCCUUCUCCCGGGCACUCCUGAGAAGAGGGUGGCAGCUGCCCAGGUCCCCAGGAAUGCGUAAGACAAGGACACUGCUUCUAACUGCAGGCUGACCGGCAAUGGAGAGCAGAGCACUGUCAGCCCUGCAGAUAUAGAAGUGUGGAAAUUUUUAGAGCUGUCAUUGAGGUUCUCUGUCAUACUAUGACUUGAGCACAGAGUAAAGGAACCAGAGCUUGAAUAUAAGGGGUUGGUUACUCAGGAGUUGGAAGGCUGAAAAUACAAAAAGGGAUACUGAAGCAAUAGAGAUAAUACAGGAAGAAGCUGCCGCCCCCAGAGCAAGGGGAAGAAGGGAAGACGUUGGUGUCAUCGGAAAUCUAGAAUCAGGAUGAGGGGCAUUGAAGAGCCAGAGCCCAGAUCUGUGAGGAGGGGCUGCUGCAAUUUUUCAGGGGAAGCAACAUCAUCAGCUAAGAGAGGGAACAAGAACUACCAUCCCUGGAGGGCAGGGACUGGGUGUCUGACAGUCACCACCACUAACCCAGGCCCAGGCAGCAAUGGAUCAUAUGACCAAUACCCCAAGUCAUGGUGAUGGGCCAGCAGGCCCGCCCACCAGCCUGGGUCAAUGAGCAAUUGGCAAACAGUACUCCAAUUUCUGCUCCAAGUCUCCUUACUCUCCUCACAUCUGGGAGAAGGCCUCUAUGCCCAAGAAACAGAACCCAGAAAUAAUCACUUGAGAGUUUAAUAAAUC